AGCUCCAAUAGCGUAUACUAAUGUUGUUGCAGUUAAAAAGCUCGUAGUCGGAUUUCAGUUUGAUUAUAGCCGCUCUACCGAGAGGCGAUGAUCAUUCUUCCUUGACAUAAACAGGCAUGUCCUUCAUUGGAUGUGCCUCGGGAGUGUCUCUUUUACUUUGAGAAAAUUAGAGUGUUCAAAGCAGGUAUUCGCCUGAAUAUUACUCUUGGAAUAAUACUAUAGGACUUUGGUUCUGCGUUGUUGGUGUUCAGAGCCAGAGUAAUGAUUGAUAGGGACGGUUGGGGUCAUUAGUACUGCAAAGCGAGAGGUGAAAUUCUUGGACCUUUGUAUGACUAACAACUGCGAAAGCAUUUGACUAGGACGUUCCCG
rnacentral:rRNA from 1 species